UACGGAAGGCAGCAGUGGGGAAUAUUGCACAAUGGGCGAAAGCCUGAUGCAGCUAUGCCGCGUGUAUGAAGAAGGCCUUAGGGUUGUAAAGUACUUUCAUCGGGGAGGAAAAAACAAAACUAAUAAUUUUAUUUCUUGACGUUACCCGAAAAAGAAGCACCGGCUAACUCCGUGCCAGCAGCCGCGGUAAUACGGAGGGUGCUAGCGUUAAUCAGAAUUACUGGGCGUAAAGAGCACGUAGGUGGUUUUUUUAAAGUCAGAUGUGAAAUCCCUGGGCUUAACCUAGGAACUGCAUUUUGAAACUGAAAUACUAGAGUAUCGUAGAGGGAGGUAGAAUUCUAGGUGUAGCGGUGAAAUGCGUAGAUAUCUGGAGGAAUACCUGUGGCGAAAGCGGCCUCCUAAACGAAUACUGACACUGAGGUGCGAAAAGCGUGGGGAGCAAAACAGGGAUUAAAUACC
rnacentral:rRNA from 1 species